AUUGAACGCUGGCGGCAUGCUUUACACAUGCAAGUCGAACGGUAACAGGCCUUCGGGUGCUGACGAGUGGCGCACGGGUGAGUAAUGCAUCGGAACGUGCCCAGAGGUGGGGGAUAACGCAGCGAAAGCUGUGCUAAUACCGCAUGUGAUCUGAGGAUGAAAGCGGGGGACCAGGCAGCAAUGUUUGGCCUCGCGCCUUUGGAGCGGCCGAUGUCAGAUUAGGUAGUUGGUGGGGUAAAGGCCUACCAAGCCGACGAUCUGUAGCUGGUCUGAGAGGACGACAGGCCACACUGGGACUGAGACACGGCCCAGACUCCUACGGGAGGCAGCAGUGGGGAAUUUUGGACAAUGGGCGCAAGCCUGAUCCAGCAAUGCCGCGUGAGGGAAGAAGGCCUUCGGGUUGUAAACCGCUUUUGUACGGAACGAAAAGGCUCUGGCUAAUACCUGGGGCUGAUGACGGUACCGGAAGAAUAAGCACCGGCUAACUACGUG
rnacentral:rRNA from 1 species